CGGGGGGGGCAAGCGUUGUUCGGAAUUACUGGGCGUAAAGGGUGCGUAGGCGGCUCUCUAAGUCGGAUGUGAAAACUCUGGGCUCAACCCAGAGCCUGCAUCCGAAACUGGAGGGCUAGGGUUCUGGAGGGGAAAGCGGAAUUCCUGGUGUAGCGGUGAAAUGCGUAGAUAUCAGGAGGAACACCGGUGGCGAAGGCGGCUUUCUGGACAGAUACCGACGCUGAGGCACGAAAGCAAGGGGAGCAAACAGGAUUAGAUACCCUGGUAGUCCUAGCCCUAAACUAUGGAUACUUGCUGUGGGGGGGAUUGAAGCCCCUUGUGGCGAAGCUAACGCAUUAAGUAUCCCGCCUGGGGAGUACGGUCGCAAGGCUG
rnacentral:rRNA from 1 species